rnacentral:rRNA from 1 species
AGCGAACGCUGGCGGCAGGCCUAACACAUGCAAGUCGAACGAAGUCUUCGGACUUAGUGGCGGACGGGUGAGUAACACGUGGGAACGUGCCUUUAGGUUCGGAAUAACUCAGGGAAACUUGUGCUAAUACCGAAUGUGCCCUUCGGGGGAAAGAUUUAUCGCCUUUAGAGCGGCCCGCGUCUGAUUAGCUAGUUGGUGAGGUAAAGGCUCACCAAGGCGACGAUCAGUAGCUGGUCUGAGAGGAUGAUCAGCCACAUUGGGACUGAGACACGGCCCAAACUCCUACGGGAGGCAGCAGUGGGGAAUCUUGCGCAAUGGGCGAAAGCCUGACGCAGCCAUGCCGCGUGAAUGAUGAAGGUCUUAGGAUUGUAAAAUUCUUUCGCCGGGGACGAUAAUGACGGUACCCGGAGAAGAGGCCCCGGCUAACUUCGUGCCAGCAGCCGCCGUAAGAC